GAUGAACGCUGGCGGCGUGCCUAAUACAUGCAAGUCGAGCGAACAGACGAGGAGCUUGCUCCUCUGACGUUAGCGGCGGACGGGUGAGUAACACGUGGAUAACCUACCUAUAAGACUGGGAUCACUUCGGGAAACCGGAGCUAAUACCGGAUAAUAUAUUGAACCGCAUGGUUCAAUAGUGAAAGACGGUUUUGCUGUCACUUAUAGAUGGUUCUCGCCGUAUUAGCUAGUUGGUAAGGUAACGGCUUAUCAAGGCGGCGACGGGUAGCCGACCUGAGAGGGUGAUCGGCCACACUGGAAGUGAGACACGGUCCAGACUCCUACGGGAGGCAGCAGUAGGGAAUCUUCCGCAGUGGGCGAAAGCCUGACGGAGCAACGCCGCGUGAGUGAUGAAGAUCUUCGGAGCGUAAAACUCUGUUAUUAGGGAAGAACAAAUGUGUAAGUAACUAUGCACGUCUUGACGGUACCUAAUCAGAAAGCCACGGCUAACUACGUG
rnacentral:rRNA from 1 species